rnacentral:rRNA from 1 species
UACGUAGGGUGCAAGCGUUGUCCGGAAUUAUUGGGCGUAAAGAGCUCGUAGGCGGUCUGUUGCGUCGGCUGUGAAAACCCGCAGCUCAACUGUGGGCUUGCAGCUGAUACGGGCAGGCUUGAGUUCGGUAGGGGAGACUGGAAUUCCUGGUGUAGCGGUGAAAUGCGCAGAUAUCAGGAGGAACACCGGUGGCGAAGGCGGGUCUCUGGGCCGAUACUGACGCUGAGGAGCGAAAGCGUGGGGAGCGAACAGG